UCAAAGCUUUCAUGGUGUGGCC
rnacentral:siRNA from 1 species